CACGUAGGGGGCGAGCGUUGUCCGGAUUUAUUGGGCGUAAAGAGCUCGUAGGCGGCUCGGUAAGUCAGGUGUGAAAACUCUAGGCUCAACCUAGAGACGCCACCUGAUACUGCUGUGGCUAGAGUCCGGUAGGGGAGCAUGGAAUUCCUGGUGUAGCGGUGAAAUGCGCAGAUAUCAGGAGGAAUACCUAUGGCGAAAGCAGGUAUCUGGGCCACAACUGACGCUGAGCUGCGAAAGCUAGGGGAGCAAACAGG
rnacentral:rRNA from 1 species